AGAUUUUCUGUUGUGCUUGAUCUAACCAUGUGGUUGCCAGGUAUGAGUAAAACAUGGUUCCGUCAAGCACCAUGGAACGUCA
rfam:Myotis lucifugus cont2.29734, whole genome shotgun sequence.